GGGGGUGUAGCUCAGUCCGGUUAGAGCGCUGGCCUGUCACGCCAGAGGUCGCGGGUUCGAGUCCCGUCACUCCCGCCA
rnacentral:tRNA from 1 species